rnacentral:tRNA from 1 species
UGCGGGAUGGAGCAGUCUGGUGUCGGGCUCAUAACNGGAGCAGUCUGGUAGCUCGUCGGGCUCAUAACCCGAAGGUCGUUGGUUCAAAUCCAGCUCCCGCUACCA